CGGGAAGUUCAGACCCCAGGCUCCACCUGCAGAGGAGAACUCCCAGAGCUGUCCGUGGUGCUGAGACCUCGGCUGCUGCAGCAACAGGAUCAUCGCUGACAGCGCGCUGCUAUCUGGAGACUCCAGCCCCGUUGGAAGCAUGUGAUAGGUGAUCCUGAGUCAGGGGAAGCUCCACACUCCGCUGUAAUCAGCUGCUGCCAGAUUUAACGCCGUGACGUCAAAAAUCAGACCCAGAGAUAAAGAAGAGCAAGCAGGGCGAUGCCAGUCCUCCCAGCGUCUGACCUCACAACUAAAGUUCAACGAUAAGCGAUCUGAAAAGCACCCACACCCAGGAUGAGCGACGCACCCUACUGGGUCGUGGACUAUGAUUUCUCCUCCCCAGCUCCGCCCGGGUUCCCCAGGGGCUCGACAGCGAUGCAGCCCCCGGCGGGGCACCCUGAGCAGGGCUCGGCUCUGUGCUUUGUGGGCCUCCUGGUUCUGCUGCUGCUUUUUCUGGUGGUACGCUGCGUCCGCAUCUUACUCGAUCCUUACAGCAGCAUGCCUUCAUCCACAUGGACUGACCACAAGGGGCUGGACAGAGGGCAGUUCGAUUAUGCAAUGGUGUAAAGAGAAAGGGGUGACUGCGAAACAAGGGAAGGACGGAUCGAAAGUCGGUCUGCACAGGCAGACUUUUGACUAAUUUCCUGCUUGAGUUUUCAAAAAACAAAACAAAACAAAAAACAAAACAAAAACAAAUGCAAGAGAUGUCAAAGAUGAUGAUUGGUUGGCAUAAAGGCGAGUUUCCAGGGUCCCUCUUUGUAAGAGUCAGUGCCUUGCAAAAGUAUUAGCACCCUUGAACACAUUUUCCCACAGGUCCUCAACUGGACGUCAGCGAUUUGAUUCAAACCAUUCCUUUGUCGCUCUGGUUGUGUUGGAUUGCCCUGGAUGUGUCAGUCUUAUGUGACCAGACCACCUUCCUCUUGAUGGGUGGAUGACUGAUUGCAGAGUGAAGCGCUUUAGGGGAUCCUCUGGACUUGAUAAAACACUGUAAAAGUAGAGGCUAUUUACUAUUUCCACAUGUCAAUUUACUGCUUAGGCGUCUUCAGAGUCCAAUUGAUUGCUCUGUGUUUUAUUCAUCACCCUCUUCUGAUAUUUAUUUGGGAAUAAUGUGAAAGUCAUCCGUCUUUUUCCCCUUCACAAUGAUGCAUUACUUUGUGUGGUUCUAUCAUAUAAUCUCAAUAAAAUGCAAAGGGGCAUGAAGACUUUUGCAAGACACUGUGACAAUAUAAAAACAGUGACUACAGAAGCCAUAUAUUCAUCAGAACCUGGAGUAAACAUCUUUGUUCUCUCAGUUUAGACGCUGCAGCGGCAAACAGAACCGG